CAAACGGCACAUUUGAAAGUGACAGAACCCUUUCAACCUCACUCACUCUAACUCACUCUAAAACUCCGCACUCUCUCACUCUCAAACUCACUCUCAAGCCGUUCGUAGCCUGCCGUUCGUCUGCCGUUCGUAGCCCGCCGUGAGUCUGCCGUUCGUGCUCUCUCUUUUCAGUAUGGAGCCUCAGAUCGAUGAGGAGCUACAGUGCUUGCACCCUGGUCCGCUACAGGGUUCAGUGUUGACGCGACAACCAUAUCACCGAUCAGAGGCCAUUUGGAAUGGCGAGGACCCGGGCCCACUUGUGUGCCGUGGUCGCACUAAGGAGAUGGCAAACGUUCAGAUGGAAGAUAAUCGGGUGAUUGACAUUAUCAAAUUGCUAAGGUUGGAAGGAUUGUUUAGAGCCCCUUCCAAAGAGAUCGAUAAUUGCCUAAUAUCGGCCCUAGUUGAGCGAUGGCGGCCGGAGACUCAUACGUUUCAUCUUCCACAUGGUGAGAUGUCAAUCACCCUACAAGAUGUGGAGGUGAUUUUCGGACUUCCUAUAGACGGUGAGGUCUUGGUUGGGCCGACUGCUGUGGAGGAUGGGACUUGGAGGCAAGUGUGCGGGGAGUUGCUUGGAUUUACUCCGCCGGAGGACAAUAAAACUUUGGUGGGCCAAAGAAUUCUCAUCAGCCGACUUGUUGAGGCCGUUGCAGCACCACUGCCUCAGGACGCAACAGAGAUUCAGAUACACCGGUAUGCUCGGUGCUAUAUUUUAGCGCUAGUAGGGGAUAAACUUUUCAUGGACAAGUCAGGAGAUAGGGUGCAUCUGAUGUUCUUGGAGUUCAUUCGCAACUUUCGUGAUCCGCGGCAGUAUAGUUGGGGUAGUGGUUGCUUGGCCUGGUUGUACAGGGACUUGUGUCGAGCAAGUGAGAAAGGCGCAUCGCAGAUUGGUGGGGCGUGCACCUUGGUCCAGUAUUGGGCAUGGGCAAGGUUGCCAUUCUUGUGCCGAGGAUAGAGCCCCCACCUGGAUGUGAUUAUGGCCCAUGGCCAUAUGCUCCACUUGCAUUUAAGUGGGUGCGGGUGCCAAGCUCGAAGAGUAGGCCAUCUGGCACGGCCUUGGUCCGCUAUCGCGAGCAAUUAGUGACAAUGCAGCCAGACCAGAUUGUGUGGCAGCCAUACGAGGCAGACUUCGGCCACCUUCCUGAGUUCUGCGUUGCAGGGAGGGAUACGUGGACAGCGAGGGUGCCGCUUGUGUGUUUUUGCAUAGUAGAGAGACACUACCCGGACCGUGUCCUUCGACAGUUUGGGUUGGCGCAGCAGCAGCCUGACAAUGCUGUCUACGAUGAUAGACUGCAUAAAAUUGACUUACGUGGGAAGGUGGAAAAGAAUUGGAGGGAGGAGCAUGGAUCGUAUAUCAUUUCAUGGGAAAUGAGAUGACAACAACUUUGUCAUGCAUCUCCUCAAAUUGGUGAGAUGCCCCGCAAUCAUGCCUAUUACGUCUGGUACCGUCCGGUCACUCGAAAGUAUGUCGACCGCAACAGCGCUAAAUUAGAUAUAAUGAUUCAAAGCCAUUUAGCGCUAUUGGAGAUGCUUCCUGAAGGCAGCGAAGCUUACAACCAUGUUCGGCGUGUCCUAAAUAAUGUGGCUGGCCUUGGUCGUGAUCCUGCAGCAAAUGAGGAGGCAGACAAUGGGCAUGAGACUGAACCAACAGUUGCUGAAAUCCCAAGCACAAGCGCAGCACCCGUAAGUACACGGACCCGUGCUCAGCGUGCUAUUGCAAGCCCAAGCACAAGCGCAGCUAGGGGCCAUGGUCGGCCUGCUACAACAAGCCCAAGCACAAGUGCAACCAGGGGCCGUGGUAUGCCUGCUACAGCAAGCCCAAGCACAAGUGCAGCCAGGGGCCGUGGUCGGCGUGCAACAACCCCUCGGGUUGUAACUAGUCUUGAGAUGCCUGCACCCAUCCCGCACUCAUCUCCUCAGCCUGAGGUCCCUCCACACAUCCCAGAUGCAUCUCCUCAGCCCGAGGUCCGUUCACCCAGCCCACCUUCGCAGCCCGAUUUUGAUCUCAGUAUUGAUGACAAUGUGACCCCUCCUAUACUCCCCGAGACACCCUCUUACCCACCUACCAGCUCUACUGCACCCACUCCUGGCCUCUACUUAGAGCAUCAUUACCCACCUACCGCAUCUUCAUCUGACCCUCUGGGACCUCCGGUUGGGAUUGACACUGUACAGCCACAUACUGAUGUACCAAAUGAGUAUCCCCCUCAUCAGCCCUCACCUCCACGAGGUAGACCGCAGUGCACUAGAAGAGCACCCACUUGUGGGACAGGUGGACACAAAAUAGGACACCGAGGUAGCUCUAUGCAUGAUGAUGAGCCUAAGGAUGAUGCCCCGCAGCCUCCUCCCCCGCCCAAACAUUACACAAGGGUUAAAAAACACAAAAUUGGCGAACCUUGAAUAAAAUUGAAUCAUCGGAAGUUACUUGAUGGAAUGUUGGACAUAUGUGGAGUGCCACCGCAAAAAUUCAGAACCAUAUGUUCAAGUAUUGACAAGUUAGAUAAACAACCUUUUGAGCAGAUAAAAAAGGAAAUGGUGGAGGAGAAGGGCUUAUCUGUUCAGACAGCAGAUGAAAUUGGUACUUUUGUGAAGGAAAGGGGACACCCUUUGGAACUAUUAUCUAAGCUUAAGCAGCAGGGCAGCAAGUUCUUAGGACACAACGGAUCUGCUGAUGCACUGAAUGACCUAGAGAUUUUAUUUAAAGCUCUUGAAGUGUCAAAGUGUAUUGAGAAAGUGGUUUUUGACUUGAGUCUUGCCAGAGGCCUUGAUUAUUAUACUGGAGUCAUAUCUGAGGCUGUUUUUAAAGGUGGUGCACAGGGGUUUUUGACAAAGCCAUUAACUACUACAGAACAUCUGCACUUGAGUAAAAAGAGGAAAGAGCAAUGCUGCUGAAAUGGUGGCUGAACAUGGAGAGCAAUUUUGGGGAGCUUGGUGAUAUUAGUUUAGUCCAGGCUAAGCUGCCAAAGAAGCUGAAAAAGAGGAGGCAGAUGGUGUAUGAGGAUGGUCCGGCUGGGUAUGAGGAAUACAUCGAUUAUAUGUUCCCUGCGGAAACUUAGACGACUAAUCUUAAAUCUUGGAAGCUGCCUAUAAGUGGAAGAAGCAAAAACUUUCUGAUGAAGACUAGCACGAGAUUCAGGCUGCUGGUAGUACAUAUGGAAACUAUUUUCGUGUAACAACUUAUGGAGAAUCUCAUGGAGGUGGUGUUGGUUGCAUCAUUGAUGGAUGCCCUCCUAGACUUCCCUUAUCAGAAGCUGAUAUGGAAGUUGAACUUGACAGAAGAAGUAACUACUGGCACACCAAUAUCUGUAUUUGUGCCCAAUACUGAUCAGAGAGCACAUGAUUACAGUGAAAUGUCAACGACUUAUAGGCCUUCUCAU